UACGAAGGGGGCUAGCGUUGCUCGGAAUCACUGGGCGUAAAGCGCACGUAGGCGGAUUGCUAAGUCAGGGGUGAAAUCCUGGAGCUCAACUCCAGAACUGCCUUUGAUACUGGCGACCUUGAGUCCGGGAGAGGUGAGUGGAACUGCGAGUGUAGAGGUGAAAUUCGUAGAUAUCGGGAGGAACACCAGUGGCGCAAGCGGCGAACUGGCCGAGACCUGACGCUGAGACGCGACGGCGUGGGGAGCAAACCGG
rnacentral:rRNA from 1 species